rnacentral:lncRNA from 1 species
GUUUUUAUGCCCUUGUAACUAUCACACCGGUAUUCCAAGCAUGUCAUAUUUUUUCCCUUACUUCAUUUAUUAUUAGACAUUUCGUGUCUUUUGAAAAUUCAUUUUUUUGUGUGAUUGCAUAAACUGCCUCGUUACUGCCCGAUGACGAUUGAGUCAUCGCAGGUUUCCGUACAGAAACACGAGCGUCUCGUCUAGAGCUUUGUCUCUCCAUACAGCUCGUUACACACACCAAUUUUUCGGGCCGGGCAGUCUUUGCGAGGGUGUCGCUGACGCCCACAAAAGCGGCAUGAUAGCGCAGCCAAGUGUUCAGACUGAUAGCGAGAACGGGAUGAAGGGGUGGACGCAUCAUUUCAACGAGCCAAAUUGAUGUUCAGCAUUCCAGCAAGGGCGUUAUGCGCAGUCAAUCUUUGGCGGGAUAAUAGCUUUCUCUGCGUCUUCAUGAAUUCGGGAUUGGUACAGCGCUUCUUCGGCGGUAAGUUUUUUGCAGUGGCAAAAUUGUUCAGACAGUCUCUCGUCACUUAUGCUCACGACAACUCUUUCAUGAACAAGAUCGUCCUCGACAAGCGAGCUGCUGUAGCUGCAGCGCUUCACCAGGUUACGUAACGUCGUGAAAAAGUCAUCUACAGAUUCGCCUGGCUGCUGAAUGCGGCGGUGAAAACGGCGACUUUUGUAUAUCUCAUUCACAGGGAGCACAAAGUGCGAAUACAAGUUUUUUUUGACAGGUGUGAACGAAGAGUCUCCUGUGCCUAUACCCAAACGACAAAAGAAUGGAUCUGGUUUGCGAUCCCAUACAGUAAAGAAGUGUCCGUACUCAGGCCCCAUCAAUGGUAUUGUGCAGGCCGGCCACGAAGGCGUAGUCUUGGAACGUUGCAAUCCACGUGGGCCAUUUUUCAUGGUUAGAAAAAGUGAAGUUUGCUGGAGGACGCAGGCCAGAUAUGCCCACCCGAACGUUGUUAACUUUGGCUUCGGCGGGGGUCGAUACCACGUCGUUAGGCAUGUUGGGUUAAUGGCGUGAUCCCGCUUCUUACACCAUGUUCAGCCCGGGAGCCAAGAAACGAGGCGGACAGCUGGCAAGCGGAAACCAAAACAACUUUACUCCCUCUCUCUAAAUCCCAUAUAUACACUCAGUAGACACCAGUGCCUCCUUGUGGCCCCAUGCUACAAGGAACACUGGCAGUGCCCUCUACACAAUCCAUCACCAUCGGCAGCUUCAUCCCUUGGUCUAAAGAUCGCGCACCUACGGAAAAAACUCACGGCGUCAUGUACCGGAUCGCGCCAACUGCCCUAUUUCCUACAUUGGAGAAGCCAAGAACUUCCACGAAAGAAUGCGGCAGCACAAGAAUAACCUCCGCCAGUUGAAUAGAGGACGGAGCGCAGUAGCAGAACACUGCGAGCGGAUUGACCACCAUAUGCGUCCCGACGACGCGAUAAUUCUGGCAAGAGAAAGAAACCCUCGCCGGUGGCUCCUCCUCAAAUCCUGGCAAAUUCAGCAGCAACAGGAAACACCAACUGCUCUACGGUGACAUCGCCCUCCCUCUCCUACCAGGGCUUGCGAAAAGUCAUGGCAAGCCUUGCACUCAUCCUCAAUCAAUCCUCUUUCACCCUCUCCACGACACUGUGCCGUGCUCCCGAUAGGACUGAAGAAAACCACGUUUUACCACGUACCCAUAAAAGCUCGAAGCAAGAACCUUUCAAGCCCACCAAUCGUUUAAACGGAGCGGAAAUAAAUAUCAGUAGUUAGUUACGUGCUUCCUUUGCUUGCAUCAUGAGCACCGAUCCUCCGCCUUUGAAAAAGCGAAAAAUACGUCAGUGCACGUUCCGGAAAGAGUGAAGAUCUCCACCCGAAUAGAAGAGCUGGCUCCUGCCCGUAGAAGACGAUGCCACAGCCGCGAUGUGCGCCAUAUGUGCAAGCACAUUUACGGUUAAAUUUGAUGGCAUCAGCGCUGUGAAGCAUCAUACAUCAACGCAGAAACAUAAACAGAAGAACCUCGCCUCGAAACAGUCGGCUACAGCCAAACGUUCUUUGUUCUAGCCAUUUCUAGCGCAGAAGAUAACUAGACUGCUGCGGAACUGAGCACCAUAUUCCAAGGAAUUAAGCACAACUACAGUUACCUGUCAAUGAACCGUGGCAGUAAGUUGGCACCGAAAGUCUUCUCGGAUUCAGACAUUGCUUCCAGAAUGCGACUCGGAAGAACAAAGAUGGAACAACUCGUGAGAGAUGUACUGGUACCUUCCGCGGUGGAGUGCAUAGUCAAAAAACGUCGUCCAGCAGGCCGCAACCUUCCAUUCACUCUCUACACUGACGCUUCCAACAAGGAAAACGGAAAACCUUUCCGUAUUGCAGUGCGUUUCUACGAUGCGAGUGGUGCCGAAAUAACUGAUGCUUUCAUCGACUUUUGUGAGCCGGCGGACGGAACCUACGGUGGCAUCUGCGAACUUAGGCAACAAAGGAGGUAGGCCUUUCUUUGGAGCGAGCUGUAGCGUAUAGCGCGGAUGAUGCUUCUGUGAAUUAUGCGAAACUUAACUCAGUUUUCCAAAGAUGCAGAAAGAUCAGCUGAUUUUGUUGAAGACCAAUUGCAAUUGCCAUGUUGUGCGUAACACUGAGAAGCACGCAAUCAAGUUUUAAAAGUUGGACGUUGAAACUCUUGUACUAAAGUUAGUCAAAGAAUUUUCUUCUUGCUCGAAAUGUGCAGAUGAAUUGAAAACUUUCUUUUAGUUUUGUGAUCAGGAAUAUAGCGAAGUUCUGUGUCAUAUUUCGGUCCGCUGGUUAAGCAUGUUUACAGCCUUAGACAGAUUAAUUAAGAACUGGACAUACUUUCUGAGUCAAGGAAAGGAGGAGUGCGAAAAAAUAAUCUGGAGAUUUAUAGGCCACCAAGCCGAAGGACUUUUAGAGAGUGUCACGCUUCUGGAGUGCUACAUAUACUUCAUGCACUCGUUCCUUGCAAUGUUACAUUCAGCAAUCCUCACCCUCGGAAAGAGCCACCUUGAGCUGACAGAACUUUACGCUAUAAUGACUAAGCUCAGGAAACAGCUGACCAAUCGAACGGAUGAUAUAUUCUUCGGUGUCAAGCCUAAUCUGGGACUUGAAAUAUUUCCUUGUAGAUAAGUUGCAAAGCUGGACUUUGUGAAUGUCUAUGACAGGGCCCUUGCGUACCUCAAAAAGUGGUUCAACAUCGAGGACUCUGUUUAAGAUGCUCGCCGCAUUAGAUCUGCGCAAAGGUGAACCCACUUUAUUAAUGGUAAUAAAUGCGAGCAACCUUUUUGGCAAUGAUUUUCAAGCGGAAGGAGACGAACUCUACUCAGAGCUUUGUCUUUUGAAGGAUGCUCUGCCUGGACUUGUAAAUUAGGACGAGAAAUCAAGCUCGGUGUGGCUGAAGUUUUUAAAAUAGGUUAAGUGCCCCUUCUUGCAGAAGCUAAUGGAGCAUGUGUACUCCAUUCCCUGCAGCAAUGCGUUCGUGAAACGCAUCUUCAGCGUAAUGGGAAACUUGUGGACGUAUGAAAGAAACCAGCUAAGCGUGUCAAUGAUUAAAGCAGAACUUAGUGUACGGUAGAAUAUUUUGUAUAGCUGUGAAGAAUUUAUAAAGAUGUCGAGAGCACACAAGAAGCUCAUCCGAUCCGCUAAGUCAAAUACUAAGUACAUAUUCAUGUUCCGCGAAUAGGAGAAGGCGAGCACAUAUGAUUUCUCUAUAUAUUUUUGAACAGUGAACAGUGAACAGUGAACUUUAUUGACAUCAUGUACAUAGUACACACACAUAGUACACAAUGCCGGAGGCCGGCAGAAAAAGCCAUCGCAAGGAUAGCUUGACGAAGCUGCCGGCCCCCGUUUUGGCACCAGAGUACAAAAGUGUUCUCAGUACAUAAAGAAAAUGUACUGAACAGAUAAACCACUUAGUACAGGACCCGAAGGAAAAUGUGAGCCCACUACAAAUAACCACGUCUUGCGUACAAACCAUACACAAAAGAAAAAUAUACACCAACGGAUGUACUAAAUAGCUCAGUACAUAUAGAUUACCUUCAUAAUACAUGCAUACAGAUUAACAUAACUUUGUAAUUUACAUAGAGUACACUAUAGAUAUAUAAUUGCACAAAUCAUUCAAUACACGACCGAAAGAAAUAUCAGAAAAAUAUGAGGUGGUUACAAAUCGCCAUGCCUAGCGUACGCCAACAUAUUCUCUAUAGUUGACACUCAUAGGCAUGCGCGAGAUAUUAUAUAGUGUAAAUGUAAUUAUUUGCAAGAAAGGAACGUAUUGCAUUGAAAGUGUUGCUUUCCCUGCUGAAAUUUAAAUUCGUAUAAAGCAUUUAGUAGCCUCGGAAGUCUGUUUCCUAACGUAUGUCGCCCAUAUGUUGUUCUACAAGUUUUAACAGUCCAAAUUUCGCAGUUUCGCGUUUUAUAAGGCUGACAAUUUCUUUUAAGGUUGGCAAGUUCAGUCAAGAAUACAUGUUUCCCCUUUAAUUCUUGUUUAUAGGCUUUCGCCAAUCUAAAGUUGUACAUCUUCUCAAAAGGCAUUACAUUAUACUUUUCAAACAACGGGUAGGUGUGAAAAUGUGAAGGCACGUCCUCUACAGCACGUAGAAAUCUUUUUCGUAGACAAUACAAUUUUUGUAUGUUUUCUUGACUAGUGGAUGCCCAAAAUAGAUGGCAAUAGUUAACUCUUGAAGAAAAUAAAGAGUUGUAAAUAAUAUCAUUACAUGUCUCGGAAGGAGACAUGUAAUGAGACAUGUUUUAUGCGUUGUAAGUGCACUGCUCAUUAUUGCAUGUGUAGCUAUGCAUGCAUUGUAUACUUUUUAAAGUAGCACUGAACAGCUCAGAAAAAAAUGACGAAAACGUCGAAAUUCUACUCGGAAGACUCGGCUAUUCCGAUAAACAGACUUUUGAACAGUUGGCCGUAUUUUUGUUUGCGUGCGGCGGCUGUACGCCAGCGCAAGCACCCCGGUUGAAAGGUGCACGCGUUCGUGUCCAUUACCUCCCUGUUUCUACCUCUCCUUUAUAAUCCACUCUCCCCCUUCCACAAAAACGGAGAUGUUACGCCUUCUUUCGGGGCUUUAUCCAACUUGGGAACAUUUUUCGCUGCAGGUGCCGCUCGUAGGGCGGGCUGAGCGGGUUGAGAGACCCGGUUGACCGGAAUGGCGUUGUUGGCACGCCUGUUCCAGGCACGGCCGUUCGAGGAAGUGGAAGGCACGCUAUAGUUCAAGGCGCGGCGGAAAAGUGGCAGCGCUAACGCCGACCCAAGCAUCUAUUUGUCUUCGGCAAGAGGUCGGCGAGUGGUCUGUAACUGACUGCGAAGUGCUUGGACUAACCUUGGCAACCAACGUAAGGCCGGUCUUGAAGAUUGCAUUGACCUCACGACAGCCGAUGUUGCAACACAACGUAGGCCCGACCGAGUUGACCGACGAGCCCGAGUGCGUGCCGCACGCGGGUUUACCAUGGCCUGACCUUACAUAAGCGUCGAUUUACCGUCGGCUGCAGGUUCGUCGCCAACGUUCCUUGCUCAGCAUAUUUUUGUAUUUUGUGCACAUUACAGUGGCUAACUACACAUGUAAGACGAAAUAAAUGUUUCUAAAGUAUGCACUUGUUAGCGUGUACGUACGUAACGCACAAUAAAAGAAAGACGAACGUAA